rnacentral:RNase_P_RNA from 1 species
GGAGCAGGUCGGGCAGCCGCGGGCACCCGUGGCGGGCGCACACGCUGGCGGGUGUUCGAGGAAAGUCCGGGCUCCACAGGGCAGGGUGCUGGGUAACCCCCAGCGGGGGCGACCCCAGGGAAAGUGCCACAGAAACAUACCGCCGGCAGAAGGCUUCGCAGGCGUGAGCCACGCGCCCGCGGGGAUGCCGGCAAGGGUGAAAUGGCCGGGUAAGAGCCGGCCGGCAGCCUGGUGACAGGCUGGCCAGGCAAACCCCACCCGGAGCAAGGCCAGGUAGGGGGAGAUGAGGUGGCCCGCCGAGUCCCCGGGUAGGCCGCAUCAGGCCUCAGGCAACUGAGGUCGUAGAGAGAUGGCUGCCCCGCGUCACUCUUCUCCAGGGCCGUCUGCAAGCCCCUGGGGCGGAUGCGGUGCGGACAGAACCCGGCUUACAGACCUGCUCCACUC